rnacentral:rRNA from 1 species
GACGAACGCUGGCGGCGUGCUUAACACAUGCAAGUCGAACGGUAAGGCCCUUCGGGGUACACGAGUGGCGAACGGGUGAGUAACACGUGGGUGAUCUGCCCUGCACUUCGGGAUAAGCCUGGGAAACUGGGUCUAAUACCGGAUAGGACUCCGGACUGCAUGGUCUGGGGUGGAAAGCUUUUGCGGUGUGGGAUGGGCCCGCGGCCUAUCAGCUUGUUGGUGGGGUGAUGGCCUACCAAGGCGACGACGGGUAGCCGGCCUGAGAGGGUGACCGGCCACACUGGGACUGUGAUACGGCCCAGACACCGACGGGAGGCAGCAGUGGGGAAUAUUGCACAAUGGGCGCAAGCCUGAUGCAGCGACGCCGCGUGAGGGAUGACGGCCUUCGGGUUGUAAACCUCUUUCAGCAUCGACGAAGCGAAAGUGACGGUAGGUGCAGAAGAAGGACCGGCCAACUACGUGCCAGCCGCCGCUGUAA